rnacentral:rRNA from 1 species
UACGUAGGGUGCAAGCGUUGUCCGGAAUUAUUGGGCGUAAAGAGCUCGUAGGCGGUCUGUCGCGUCGGCUGUGAAAACCUGGGGCUCAACUUCGGGCCUGCAGCCGAUACGGGCAGACUAGAAUUCGGUAGGGGAGACUGGAAUUCCUGGUGUAGCGGUGAAAUGCGCAGAUAUCAGGAGGAACACCGGUGGCGAAGGCGGGGCUCUGGGCCGAUACUGACGCUGAGGAGCGAAAGCGUGGGGAGCGAACAGG